GAAAUCCCGGCUAUUCGCCUUUGUAAAUGCGCGUUACGAGCCCUUAUCCCCGCGCCCAGGACGGACGUGCGGUACCGGGGGCCGCUCUCACAUCGCGAUGGCCGCUCGCUGCGAAAAGUUUAUUGAUAGCUGCGGGGCUGUCAUCUUCGCCAAGCACAGGAGGCUCCGCACUCAUUUAGGGGCGCCAGCAGCGGCCGGAUCAAAGGAGCGGCCCGGAGGGGACCAUUGAGGACGUUAACCCGCAUCGGGGGAGCGAGGCGCCUCGGCCCUGGGACAGCGGCGUGCCGGGGCGGACAGAAGGGUUUGGCGCUCCCACCGUAAGGAGAUGCGCCCCAACCCCGAAUUAAGAACCCAAAUAGCGGUGCGUUGUGUGCCGCCUUGUCCCCUCGAUCCUACAGGACGUUGGGAUGUCUCUGCGGUUUGAGGAGCUCAGCCCGCGUCCCGCAGUGAGAGAAGGAUCCGCGCUCAUUGAUAACGUGAUAACCAGCGCUGCAUCCCCCCCUGCACUGAACGCUUCGUGCUUAUGUUUCUGUCACACUUGGUGGUGUUUUAAUCCCUGCAUCGUAGCGAGCGCUCGGCUCUCACUCGCACUGCCGGCAAGCAGACGGGCUGCGAACUUUCCUCCCUUUCUUGUUCCUUCUUUCCUUUCUAAAUGAAACACGCGGGCUUUGGGUAAGGAAGGGAGAAAUCCGAUUUACAAAACGAAAUCUGCCCCGGGAUGGUUUUUCUUGUUUAGCGGGAGAUGCUCGGCACACCGGGCUCUCUUCCUUAUCGCCGUGUGAACGGCGCUGGUAUUUAGGGAUUCUGUGUGCUGACGCGUUGGUGCCCUCACCUGCUUUUAGGUGCCUCGUUCUUAUAUUCCUAUAAGGGAAACCGAAGUGGAAGGGCAGGGCGGGACGUAAGGGGGGAGAGGAAGGGGGGGGAAUAGGUGACUUUAUUGGUGGUUGUUCCAGCCUAGGGCUUUUAUGGGGAGCCGUGCGCUGCCCUUAAGGCACUUGUGCAAGAUAACAAUAUUGGGCAAUUAGCAUCCCAAACAGUCCCGUUUCAGGGGAUGAAUGCGCAAGGCAAAGCCAUUACCCAUCGCGUUUUAUUUCGGUGGGAAUACAACAACAAACGCUGGUGGGAGCCAAUGGGGGAUGGGGAGGGAGGACCGGAGGCAGCGCUGAGCCGAUUCAGGGCAUUGUCUGCCUUUUGUAAACGUUAUCUUUUGACUUAAAGGCAGGGGUAGGACAGAAGAGAGUUGUUGUUUCCCUUGUUUCUAUUUUAUUUCUCCCUCUUAGGACACGGGGCAGCCCUGGAGGACUUUGGGACACGGGGAUACGGGGAUGCGCGGUUGUGCCCGCACCGGGCACCGCUGCACGCUUUUUGCGCGCUCUUUGCGCGCUCCCCGCGUGCCCCUGCCACCCGAUCGGCUCCGUCCGGGGGGACGCUUCGCAAAUAGCGAAGAUCUAUGGCAAGCGGUAACACUGCCUCGCGGGUUUUACGAGCCUGAAACGCCCUUCAAGUGCCAACUCCCUCCCGCUCCAGUCAUUGCUCCACUGAAAAUACGAAAAUACCUCGCUUCUUCCCCUUCCCUCUCCUUCUCCCUUUCUGCCCAAAUCGAACAGAACCCAAACUACUUUUAGGGCUUCAGACACCGGGGCUGCUCCCGGAGAGGUGCCGGGGCUGUGCACGACCGCACCCCCGCUCCUUCGAGGCUCGAGAGCGGAGCUGAAAGGAAAGCACUAUUUCAAGUGGCCCAAAUUAAUUUGAUCGCGACAUUAUGAUGCACUUGAAAAAGAUGAAAGAAAAGGCUACCCGUCUCCUCCAAGAUCUCUAUAAUUAUAGAUAAUAUAUCCUAUUUCAAAGCAAUUAGCUCAAUCAGGCGUAACGAGGCACUUUGCUGCCAGGGAGUAACAAUGCCUUACGGUUAUUUAAGCUUCAAGAUGUCAAGCAGACUUCGAGACUCUCUGCUUUGCCCGAGAGGGAACUUGGCUGCCUUGGUGCUAGCCCCAUGGCGAAGGCAGCGGUUCCUCUUUAGUGACAACACGCCUGUUUGACUUCAGCGUUAUUUUUAAAGCUCCUGCAGAUGUACCAGAGAAGCGUCUCUUUUCCAGGGGCAUUUGGGGCCGGCAUUUGCGUACCAUCCCUUCUGCCUUUCCUCGGUGCCUUCCCCCCCCCUCAUUUCAUGUGUUCUGUAGGGGAUUCCAACUGCUUCUCAGCGAGAGUGGAGGAAAAAGUGUUCAUGGGAUGAGAUCCCACGGCCUCCUGGUCCCAGCCGGCCCCUUCCUACCCCAAAGCUUUACUCCGAGCUCUCCUCGGUUUUGUUGUUUUGUUUUGUUUUGUUUUUGCCUUUCACUAUUAAUUAUUAUUGUUGUUGUUAUUAUUAUUAUUUUGACCUUGAAUGGUCACAGAUGCCAAAGGUCCCAAAGCAAAGUGAGCAUCCCGCUGCUGCAUCCAGCAGUGAGCCAUUGGGCCACAGAUGUGUAUGCCCGGGUGUGGAGUGGGGUCUGCCUGGCACCCAGGUGGGGAGCAGAGGCUGAAAUGCUGAAACCCCCUCGUCUUCACUGAAAGCUUCAGGAGGGGUGUGUGGAGUGGGUUGGCCCCACUGUUUCCAGGGGACCCAAAUG
ensembl:lncRNA